UUUAAUGCAUGCCUUGACGAAAAUGGAGAACUGGAUCUUGAUAUCAAUGGAUUAAGAGCAAAAGUCAUCACUCUCUUUAAUCUUGUGCCUGAUGCUGAUCUUACACUGACGUAUAUUGAUGAAGAUGGUGACGUGGUAACACUUGUUGAUGAUGAAGAUCUGCAUGAUGUGAUGAGACAGCGCUUGAAGUUCUUGAGGAUUACCGUGCUGCUAAAUAUUGAAAAGGAUGGUAGGUCUCACACUCGGUCAAGUGGAAGUUCUACUCCCAUGAGAUCACCUUUUAACCUGCGCCCAUUUCAAGAUGGCAAUGCUGGUGUUGCUCCCAUGAGAUCACCUUUUGACCUGCGCCCAUUUCAAGAUGGCAAUGCUGGUGUUGCUCCCAUGAGACCACCUUUUGACCUGCGCCCAUUUCAAGAUGGCAAUGCUGGUGUUGCUGAAUUUAUUAAAUCAGUACCAGAGCCACUACUUGAAGCAUUUUCGAAACUAUCAACAGAUUUUACUUCUAAAGCUGCAUCCUCUGCUCCAGUGCUUUCUGAGGUUCUUACCUGCCUCUCAAAGAUGGGAGAAUCCUACCUCAAUUCUGUUUCUCCAUCUGAGGUUGGUGCAGAUUCAAGCACACAUAAUAGGUCAUCUGACAACUCCGUCGAUCCUUUAGUGACUGAAAAUACAAAAGCUCCGCAAGCUGACAGCAAACAAGAACUGCUGCCAACUGCUGAACUCAAAGAUUCAAAUUCUAAACUUAAUGAAGUG
rnacentral:lncRNA from 1 species